rnacentral:rRNA from 1 species
GAUCCUGGCUCAGGAUGAACGCUGGCGGCGUGCUUAACACAUGCAAGUCGAACGAAGCACUUUAUUUGAUUUCCUUCGGGAUUGAUUAUUUUUGUGACUGAGUGGCGGACGGGUGAGUAACGCGUGGGUAACCUGCCUUGUACAGGGGGGAUAACAGUUGGAAACGGCUGCUAAUACCGCAUAAGCGCACAGCAUCGCAUGAUGCAGUGUGAAAAAACUCCGGUGGUAUAAGAUGGACCCG